UGCAGUCAGCUCCUCUCAAAUGAAUCAGCUUGCCAGUGUUUGGUGGCAUCGCAGGUGUGAUAACUAUCUACGCUUGUGGUUUUCUACCAGGUAGCCUUCAGUGAUGGAGGUUCGCUGGAGCUCAUAAAUGUCUCUCCUCAGCGAAGACGGUCUCGUGAACGUUUGAUCUCAAAUCAGGUAGGACUACCCGCUGAACUUAA
rnacentral:misc_RNA from 1 species